UCCCUGGUAGCUCAGUUGGUAAAGAAUCUGCCUGCAAUGCAGGAGACCCCGGUUUGAUUCCUGGGUUGGGAA
rnacentral:tRNA from 1 species